rnacentral:rRNA from 1 species
UUCAGCGGCGGACGGGUGAGUAAUGCCUAGGAAUCUGCCCGAUAGUGGGGGACAACGUUUCGAAAGGAACGCUAAUACCGCAUACGUCCUACGGGAGAAAGCAGGGGACCUUCGGGCCUUGCGCUAUCGGAUGAGCCUAGGUCGGAUUAGCUAGUUGGUGGGGUAAAGGCUCACCAAGGCGACGAUCCGUAACUGGUCUGAGAGGAUGAUCAGUCACACUGGAACUGAGACACGGUCCAGACUCCUACGGGAGGCAGCAGUGGGGAAUAUUGGACAAUGGGCGAAAGCCUGAUCCAGCCAUGCCGCGUGUAUGAAGAAGGUCUUCGGAUUGUAAAGCACUUUAAGCUGGGAGGAAGGGCAGUAAGUUAAUACCUUGCUGCUUUGACGUUACCAGCAGAAUAAGCACCGGCUAACUUCGUGCCAGCAGCCGCGGUAAUACGAAGGGUGCAAGCGUUAAUCGGAAUUACUGGGCGUAAAGCGCGCGUAGGUGGUUCAGCAAGUUGGAUGUGAAAGCCCCGGGCUCAACCUGGGAACUGCAUCCAAAACUACUGGGCUAGAGUAUGGUAGAGGGUGGUGGAAUUUCCUGUGUAGCGGUGAAAUGCGUAGAUAUAGGAAGGAACACCAGUGGCGAAGGCGACCACCUGGACUGAUACUGACACUGAGGUGCGAAAGCGUGGGGAGCAAACAGGAUUAGAUACCCUGGUAGUCCACGCCGUAAACGAUGUCAACUAGCUGUUGGGUUCCUUGAGAACUUAGUAGCGAAGCUAACGCGAUAAGUUGACCGCCUGGGGAGUACGGCCGCAAGGUUAAAACUCAAAUGAAUUGACGGGGGCCCGCACAAGCGGUGGAGCAUGUGGUUUA